GGCCAGUCGAACGACUCGGACUAUGGCGAGAAGUGGCAAACUGCUCAGUAACACGUAGCUAACCUACCCUCAGGACGGGGACAACCCCGGGAAACUGGGGUUAAUCCCCGAUAGGCGUGGAUUCCUGGAAUGGUGUCACGCCGAAACGUUAACACACCAUGUUUGUGUACACGCCUGAGGACGGGGCUGCGGCCGAUCAGGCAGUUGGUGAGGUAACGGCUCACCAAACCUUUGACCGGUACGGGCCGUGAGAGCGGUAGCCCGGAGAUGGACACUGAGACAAGGGUCCAGGACCUACGGGUCGCAGCCGGUACGAAACCUCCACAAUGCACGCAAGUGCGAUGGGGUUACCUCGAGUGCCGCCUGAAGAAGGCGGCUUUUCCAUUGUGUAAUGAGCCGUGGGAAUAAGGGGGGGGCAAGGCUGGUGUCAGCCGCCGCGGUAACACCAGCCCCCCGAGUGGUGGGGAUGUUUAUUUGGCCUAAAACGUCCGUAGCCAGCUAGGUAAAUCUCUCGUUAAAUCCAGCGUCCUAAGCGUUGGGCUGCGAGAGAGACUGCCAAGCUAGAGGGUGGGAGAGGUCAGCGGUAUUUCUGGGGUAGGGGCGAAAUCCAUUGAUCCCAGGAGGACCACCAGUGGCGAAGGCUGCUGACUAGAACACGCCUGACGGUGAGGGACGAAAGCUGGGGUAGCGAAUCGGAUUAGAUACCCGAGUAGUCCCAGCCGUAAACGAUGCA
rnacentral:rRNA from 1 species